CCCUCGGCUCUCCCUCACUGUACUACCCGGCGCUUCGAGCUCAGCCUCUGCUCUGAAGAAAACUGAGUCUGGAGGAAUACAAACCCCAGCCAGAGGAUGUCUCUAUCAUUCCCACCCAGGCAGGGACUUCUACUCUCGGAAAAAUGCCUCCCUUUGUCUGAGAAACAGAGCAGAUCAUCACAUCACUUUCCUGAGAACAGUGGAUCCUAUAUUUAAUGGUUUAAAGCUGACAGAUGAAAGAUUCCAAGCUUUAUCUUCUCUUCCAGGACACCACCUGUAUCCCAUUUCAGUGGAGAGUGCAUACUUCAUUCAGAAAUGCUAACCAUGACUAAGCAUUCAGCUUCCCUGUUUCCUGUGGUCCAUGCCCCAGAGUGUCUUCACUUGAUCAAAAACCCUUGGCGGGCCCAGGAUAAGGGCUCCAUCAUAAAAGCUAGGGGUCUGACUAUAGGCUUGAUUUGGGGUAUUUACACAGAGCGUGUGUCCUCUCGCAAGGAGAGUAAACCCCAGGUCAUUACAUCUGCUGAUCCUCUGAAAAACAUGCCAGGAUUUUGCCAGAAUGUGCCCUGAAAAAUAGCCAAGGCACAAAUUAACACCCACUUUCCGGCAAUGGGAACCAUUUCUGAAAAAGCCACUUCUGUAAAACCCGAGGCAACCUGGAACAAUCCGGAAGCCAAGAUGCAAUUUAUUCACCAAGAACACAGAAUUAUGAUCCAGCAGCAAAGUAGCUGCUGGGUGUGUUUCCUUUCCCACACAAGCUGUAUUUCAAAGGCCUGCCACUCUUAAUUUACAAGCCCAACCCUUGAAAGGAAUGCUCUACAUAGCUGAAGAUUUACAGAAUGUCAUAACUAAAGACAAGGUAGAGGGAUUGGGCCCUCCUCAAUUCCCUUGUCUUAGAGAUGGGGACACAGAGACCCAGGCAGGGUAAGUCAGCUUAUGAUUACACAGCUACAGACAGGGACACAGCCAGCACUGAAAUCCCGGUAUUCUGACCCCAUAAUCACUGUUUCUGGCUCCUCCAAUUUUUCUACUAAAUUUAAACAUCAAUCAUGUUUUCAGAUUAACAUUUUAAAACAAAUGGUUUUCAUUUCAAACUAGCAGAAUCCAAAAGGAAAUUCAGGCAUUGCUUGGGAGACGGAGCUAGACAGCAUCAAAGGUUAAUUUCUAAUCCUGACAGAUUAGGUUUCAAUGAGAAGAGGUAGCACUUAGCACAGGGACCAGAGUUAAAGUCCACCUGUUAAGGUGACACAGAAUAACACAUUCAUUCAUUGCUGGUGAGAAUGUAAAUUGAGAAAACCAUUUAAAAAACAAAUAUUGACAACAUGUAUUAAAUUCUUUAAGGAUA